GAUGAACGCUGGCGGCGUGCUUAACACAUGCAAGUCGAACGAUGAAGCCCAGCUUGCUGGGUGGAUUAGUGGCGAACGGGUGAGUAACACGUGAGUAACCUGCCCUUGACUCUGGGAUAAGCCCGGGAAACUGGGUCUAAUACCGGAUAGGAGCGCCUGUCGCAUGACGGGUGUUGGAAAGAUUUUUCGGUCAUGGAUGGACUCGCGGCCUAUCAGCUUGUUGGUGAGGUAAUGGCUCACCAAGGCGACGACGGGUAGCCGGCCUGAGAGGGCGACCGGCCACACUGGGACUGAGACACGGCCCAGACUCCUACGGGAGGCAGCAGUGGGGAAUAUUGCACAAUGGGCGGAAGCCUGAUGCAGCGACGCCGCGUGAGGGAUGACGGCCCUUUCGGGUUGUAAACCUCCUUUCAAGUAAGGGAAAGAA
rnacentral:rRNA from 1 species